UUGGGCGUAAGCGCGCGCAGGCGGUUUCUUAAGUCUGAUGUGAAAGCCCCCGGCUCAACCGGGGAGGGUCAUUGGAAACUGGGGAACUUGAGUGCAGAAGAGGAGAGUGGAAUUCCACGUGUAGCGGUGAAAUGCGUAGAGAUGUGGAGGAACACCAGUGGCGAAGGCGACUCUCUGGUCUGUAACUGACGCUGAGGCGCGAAAGCGUGGGGAGCGAACAGGAUUAGAUACCCUGGUAGUCCACGCCGUAAACGAUGAGUGCUAAGUGUUAGAGGGUUUCCGCCCUUUAGUGCUGCAGCAAACGCAUUAAGCACUCCGCCUGGGGAGUACGGUCGCAAGACUGAAACUCAAAGGAAUUGACGGGGGCCCGCACAAGCGGUGGAGCAUGUGGUUUAAUUCGAAGCAACGCGAAGAACCUUACCAGGUCUUGACAUCCCAAUGGCCGCUUUAGAGAUAGAGCCUUCCCUUCGGGGACAUUGGUGACAGGUGGUGCAUGGUUGUCGUCAGCUCGUGUCGUGAGAUGUUGGGUUAAGUCCCGCAACGAGCGCAACCCUUGAUCUUAGUUGCCAGCAUUGAGUUGGGCACUCUAAGGUGACUGCCGGUGACAAACCGGAGGAAGGUGGGGAUGACGUCAAAUCAUCAUGCCCCUUAUGACCUGCGCUAC
rnacentral:rRNA from 1 species